rnacentral:rRNA from 1 species
UACGAAGGGGGCUAGCGUUGUUCGGAAUUACUGGGCGUAAAGCGCACGUAGGCGGAUAUUUAAGUCAGGGGUGAAAUCCCGCAGCUCAACUGCGGAACUGCCUUUGAUACUGGGUAUCUCGAGUAUGGAAGAGGUGAGUGGAAGUCCGAGUGUAGAGGUGAAAGUCGUAGAUAUUCGGAGGAACACCAGUGGCGAAGGCGGCUCAAUGGUCCAGUACUUAAUCGGAGGUGCGAACGCUGUGUGAGCCAACAGGAUUCGAUCCCAGCGGAGUCC